GCCUGGGUGGCUCAGUGGUGGAGCGUCUGCCUUCGGCUCAGGGCAUGACCCGGAGACGUGGGAUUAAGUCCCACAUUGGGCU
rnacentral:tRNA from 1 species